CAUUCUAUCCUUUGUAAGGGUCAGACGAGGUUACUUAGAGUGCCUGCCACCACAGCUCACUCACGGUAACAUGAGGAUACCUGUCCAUGCUGGCACAAACAAGAGCAGAAAGCAGACGUCCAAGCAGUGCACCGGGAACACUCACUCUGGAAGGCUAAAAUGCUUGCAGCUUGCUUCCUGUGCUAGCUCAAGUCCAGGAAUUCCUAUCUCCUCGAAAAUGUGGGAUAACAGCCAUCAGAUAGAGCUGACGUGAGGAAUGUGUACAUGGAGAAAAGUACGGCUAACAACACACUGACGGAAACUGGAAAUAAGACAGGCUGUGCUAACGUCUGUGACCAGAUAGAUCAUCACGUAUUUUCCAGACUCCCUGCUAAGGAACCUGGGAAAGCAGUAGAAGAUGGCCCAAGUCCUUGGGACCCUGCACCCGUGUGGGAGAUCCAGAAGAAGCUCCUGGCUCCUGGCUUCGGAUCGGCGCAGCUCUGGCCAUUGCAGCCAAUUGGGGAGUGAACCAGCAGAUGGAAGACCUCUCUCUCUCUCUCUCUCUGCCUCUCCUCUCUCUGUGUAACUGACUUUCAAAUCAAUAAAUAAAUCUUUAAAAAAAGCAUAGUAA